UUUUUCAAGUUGAUACAUGUUUGGUUGACUUCUUUGAGCAUGCUUAAACUUGUCUUGCCUUUCUGAUUUUCAUUGAUCAUCUUCCCAUGAUCCAAAUGAGCUGAAAUUUUAUAUGCAUAUCAUGCUAUGGAUUGAUCAUGAAUUAUUUGAUAAUUUUUUGAAAUUUUUAUGAUUGGUUUUGAGUUGAGUCUUGCUGUUGACUUCUAUGAGCUUUCAUUUGCCAUGCUUUGACUUCUUUUGCUUAUGAAAUGAUGAUGAUGAAUGAUAUGAAUGUGGGACCAAUUGAGUUUGCUUCUUGAUUGUUUAAACUUGAUUUUGGUUGAAUAUCACUUGCUGUUUUGACUUUCUCAUCCCCUUUUGACCCUAGGCUUGUCCUAGUGGUCUUGUUGCUCAUGUUUGAGUUCAUGUUUUCAGGUUAAGCAACAUUGCUUCAAAAAGAGCAAUACAAAUUGAUUGAGUUUACUUGAUUAUCAUGAGCUAACCUCUUUGUUUUGUAGGUUGCUUGGCUCACAAGCUUUGAGCCUUGUGCUUUGCACAUUUAUCUGUUUGUGUUAACUGUUG
rnacentral:lncRNA from 1 species